rnacentral:rRNA from 1 species
GACGAACGCUGGUGGCGUGCUUAACACAUGCAAGUCGAACGGAAAGGCCCUGCUUUUGUGGGGUGCUCGAGUGGCGAACGGGUGAGUAACACGUGAGUAACCUGCCCUUGACUUUGGGAUAACUUCAGGAAACUGGGGCUAAUACCGGAUAGGAGCUCCUGCUGCAUGGUGGGGGUUGGAAAGUUUCGGCGGUUGGGGAUGGACUCGCGGCUUAUCAGCUUGUUGGUGGGGUAGUGGCUUACCAAGGCUUUGACGGGUAGCCGGCCUGAGAGGGUGACCGGCCACAUUGGGACUGAGAUACGGCCCAGACUCCUACGGGAGGCAGCAGUGGGGAAUAUUGCACAAUGGGCGGAAGCCUGAUGCAGCAACGCCGCGUGCGGGAUGACGGCCUUCGGGUUGUAAACCGCUUUCGCCUGUGACGAAGCGUGAGUGACGGUAAUGGGUAAAGAAGCACCGGCUAACUACGUGCCAGCAGCCGCGGUGAUACGUAGGGUGCGAGCGUUGUCCGGAUUUAUUGGGCGUAAAGGGCUCGUAGGUGGUUGAUCGCGUCGGAAGUGUAAUCUUGGGGCUUAACCCUGAGCGUGCUUUCGAUACGGGUUGACUUGAGGAAGGUAGGGGAGAAUGGAAUUCCUGGUGGAGCGGUGGAAUGCGCAGAUAUCAGGAGGAACACCAGUGGCGAAGGCGGUUCUCUGGGCCUUUCCUGACGCUGAGGAGCGAAAGCGUGGGGAGCGAACAGGCUUAGAUACCCUGGUAGUCCACGCUGUAAACGGUGGGUACUAGGUGUGGGGUCCAUUCCACGGGUUCCGUGCCGUAGCUAACGCUUUAAGUACCCCGCCUGGGGAGUACGGCCGCAAGGCUAAAACUCAAAGGAAUUGACGGGGCCCCGCACAAGCGGCGGAGCAUGCGGAUUAAUUCGAUGCAACGCGUAGAACCUUACCUGGGUUUGACAUGGAUCGGGAGUGCUCAGAGAUGGGUGUGCCUCUUUUGGGGUCGGUUCACAGGUGGUGCAUGGCUGUCGUCAGCUCGUGUCGUGAGAUGUUGGGUUAAGUCCCGCAACGAGCGCAACCCUUGUUCACUGUUGCCAGCACGUUAUGGUGGGGACUCAGUGGAGACCGCCGGGGUCAACUCGGAGGAAGGUGGGGAUGACGUCAAGUCAUCAUGCCCCUUAUGUCCAGGGCUUCACGCAUGCUACAAUGGCUGGUACAGAGAGUGGCGAGCCUGUGAGGGUGAGCGAAUCUCGGAAAGCCGGUCUCAGUUCGGAUUGGGGUCUGCAACUCGACCUCAUGAAGUCGGAGUCGCUAGUAAUCGCAGAUCAGCAACGCUGCGGCGAAUACGUUCCCGGGGCU